ACUGCCCUUAUCUUGGGGUUGCAUGGCUGUUCAAUGAAUGUAUGGUGAGAAAAGCUCUGCUAACACCAUUAUAACACUUGCACUUCACCUAGGUAUCUUUGUAAUAUGGUGCAAUUUUUGGAACC